GGCUCAGGAUGAACGCUAGCUACAGGCUUAACACAUGCAAGUCGAGGGCAGCGGAUUGAAGCUUGCUUCAAUUGCCGGCGACCGGCGCACGGGUGAGUAACGCGUAUCCAACCUUCCGUACACUCAGGGAUAGCCUUUCGAAAGAAAGAUUAAUACCUGAUGGUAUGAUGAGAUCGCAUGGUAUCAUCAUUAAAGAUUUAUCAGUAAAGGAUGGGGAUGCGUCCCAUUAGCUGGUUGGUGGGGUAACGGCCCACCAAGGCGACGAUGGGUAGGGGUUCUGAGAGGAAGGUCCCCCACAUUGGAACUGAGACACGGUCCAAACUCCUACGGGAGGCAGCAGUGAGGAAUAUUGGUCAAUGGGCGCGAGCCUGAACCAGCCAAGUAGCGUGGAGGACGACGGCCCUACGGGUUGUAAACUCCUUUUAUAAGGGGAUAAAGUUGGCCAUGUAUGGCCAUUUGCAGGUACCUUAUGAAUAAGCAUCGGCUAAUUCCGUG
rnacentral:rRNA from 1 species